AACGAACGCUGGCGGCAUGCCUAACACAUGCAAGUCGAACGAGACCUUCGGGUCUAGUGGCGCACGGGUGCGUAACGCGUGGGAACCUGCCCUUGGGUUCGGAAUCACAGGUAGAAAUGACCUCUAAUACCGGAUGACGUCCUCGGACCCAAUAUUUAACGCCCAAGGAUGAGCCCGCUUAGGAUUAGAUUGUUGGUGGGGUAAUGGCCCACCAAGCCGACGAUCCUUAGCUGGUCUGAGAGGAUGAUCGGCCACACGGGGACUGCAGACACGGCCCAGACUCCUACGGGAGGCAGCAGUGGGGAAUAUUGGACAAUGGGCGAAAGCCUGAUCCAGCAAUGCCGCGUGAGUGAUGAAGGCCUUAGGGUUGUAAAGCUCCUUUACCAGGGAUGAUAAUGACAGUACCUGGAGAAUAAGCUCCGGCUAACUCCGUGCCAGCCGCCGCGGUAA
rnacentral:rRNA from 1 species